AACAUAACCUAAUGAGAGAUACCAUGAUCAUGAUGGUGGUUUUCCCAGGGAGAAGCUUAUCCACUGGGUAAGAAUGGUUAGAUUAUGCUGACCCCUUGUAAUUUCUUUAAAUAUAGGAAACACAACUCUAUAAUUUGAGGUAGUGGGGGACUGCAUUUGUGGUUUUUCCUG